rnacentral:lncRNA from 1 species
CACCGUAGUCAGUUUCUCACUCAUCUGCAAUAGUGGCGAUAUACAGUAUUGGAAUGUACAAUUAUGUAAUAUAUAAUCUCUGUGUGUGUGUGUGUGUGUGUGUGUGUGAGACCUGUUUGAUGUGUUCUCGUUUGAGGUAUUUCUCGCUGUAGUAUUGUUCCUGUCUCAGCUCCAGUAGCUGUUGCUGUUGUUGUUCUCUCCAUCCUCAUCAAACUGCUUCAGUUCAGCCUUCCCUCCGGGUGACAAACUUCUAACACACACGACAUGAGUCAGGGGUUAGGGACAACACACAUACACACUCAGAUCUGCCUACCCUCCACCCUACCUACCUUGUCUUACCAUGUUGUUUAGUCUUCAGGAGAGCGUUGUGUCUGCGUGUGUGUUGGUUCUGAGCCUGGUUGUACUUGGUUGUCUGUUCCUUCACCAUCUCCAAAGUCUUCUUCUGGUGUCUCUUCACCACAUCCUUCAUCUCCCUGUAGUGUCUCUUCUGCUCCCGCACGAUCAGCUUGUGUUGCCUGAGCUCCUCUAGUGUGGCCGCCUCCAUAUCUGAACAGGCAGAGACCACACAGUGGAACACAGACUGCACACCAUCUUAUACUGACAACACACCACCACACACACACACACACACACAACCCCUCCCCCCUUUCUCUCUCUGACCUAUCAGAACGCUCUGCACCAUGUCUUGGGGCUGUGAUGGGGCUGUGACCAUUCUCCAAAGGAGCAGAUCAGUGAGAGCAGCCAGCUGUUGGGACCGCUGCUCCAGGAGAUUCACAUACCGGAUGGGCGAUUCUCAGAGAGGCCAACGUGG